UUCAUGCUUUGAUUGGCCAUUUGCACUUCAUUUCAGUUGCCCUUUUUUCAGCUGGGUCUUUUAUUUUGGGUGUCUACAGUUCCUUACAUAUUUUCUCCAUAUUGGUCCUCCGUCCGAGGGGCCCCUGGCGGCAUUUCCCCUUCUGCAGCUGCCUUGUCGCUCACUCUCUGAGGAGGAUGCAGGAGCUUUGGCCACUCCAGGCAGGAGCCGUGCUCAGGGGACCAAUUGGACUCACCCUUCUCCUUUCUCCGGCAGGGCUGGUUGGUAGGAGGGUCACGGAGCUAGGGUGAGCUCAGGAGUCUCUGAGGUACCGCAGAUCUCGGCGAGGACGAUCUCAGGACAUGCGGUGCAUUUCAGCAUUUGGGAAAAUCAGAGGUCCCAGAUCUAUUGAAUCUUUGGGAAAAAUAUCACAGAAGGGCAGGCAAAUGAGACAGAAGCAGAAAUUACAAAGGAGGAAACGUAAACCACUGUCUCAUGGGUGAAGGGUUCACCUGGCUGCCAGACGGUUAUGAUUCAACCGGGUUACAUCAGAGGGCGUCUCGCAUGGGACGCUGAGCUCAGCAGCACCGCACCUGGGGUGGACAUUCUCCCAAAUCCAGGAAUCAGAGCGGCAAGAGCUCCUGCUUGUAAACGGAAGCCGGAGUAAGAGAAGUUCCGGGAGAAGCCAGGCAGAGGAGAGACCUUCGGAUGCUGCUGAUCUGGGUUCUGUGGUUGAUCUGCAUUUCACGGUGAGGAGGACCACUUCUGCUCACGCUCCUUAGAGGACGCCCUUGACGGCAGCCAGGUGCUGGCCCCGGUUUGCAGGAGCGGUGAGGAUGGGUGCCUGACCUGCAGCAGUUUACAGACAGCUUUGUCAUCUGAGGACGCGCCCUCUUUUUUGCUGGAUAAUUAUUUCUUUCGUCUUCCUGGGUUCCUGUAUUUUGAUAGGUCUCAACAUUGGCUCACGAGUGCUGGUAAUAUUUAUUCUGUAAUCUUAAAAGAGUGUCUUGCCACUAGGAGUAAAUCCCCCAAUUAACAUUUUCUUCUCUAGCAUA